UGCGGGCCUGCUUUGGGAACAGAGGGACCCUCCCUGCUGUUCUGUUCACACGGAAGCGUGUCUCAGCGUCUGGGGGCUUGGAGAAAGAAGCCCUGAGGGGCGGUCCUGAGAAGAAUGCAGCAGUGGCAGAGCAAGCCUCGGCUUACCAGGAAGUUACUUCCUAAGACGGGAGCGAAUCCUGCAAGUGAGCCCUGAGAACAAGCACAAAGUCUGCUGGCAGAGAAGGGUCCGCCCGAGGCUCUGGCCCCAGGGAACCCCUCGGUUCUUCUCCAACAUUUUGCUGAGGGAAGGCUGCUCUUGUGUUGAACCUACCGAGGGAGAGUUCCUAGGUUUGCAUGGCAAGAAAUGUGAAGAUAUUUUUAAGACAAAUUCACCCCUGCACACCACCGGCUUUCGAGUCACAGACCCUAGUAAGAGCUCAAGAGUGACUUCAUUUGUAAUA
rnacentral:lncRNA from 1 species